GUAGGUGGCAAGCGUUGUCCGGGAAUUAUUGGGGCGUAAAGCGCGCGCAGGCGGUUCUUUAAGUCUGAUGUGAAAGCCCACGGGCUCAACCGUGGAGGGUCAUUGGAGACUGGAGAACUUGAGUACAGAAGAGGAAAGCGGAAUUCCACGUGUAGCGGUGAAAUGCGUAGAGAUGUGGAGGAACACCAGUGGCGAAGGCGGCUUUCUGGUCUGUAACUGACGCUGAGGCGCGAAAGCGUGGGGAGCAAACAGGAUUAGAUACCCUGGUAGUCCACGCCGUAAACGAUGAGUGCUAAGUGUUAGGGGGUUUCCGCCCCUUAGUGCUGCAGCUAACGCAUUAAGCACUCCGCCUGGGGAGUACGGCCGCAAAGGCUG
rnacentral:rRNA from 1 species